rnacentral:rRNA from 1 species
AAAACUUUCAACAACGGAUCUCUUGGUUCUGGCAUCGAUGAAGAACGNAGCGANAUGCGAUAAGUAAUGUGAAUUGCAGAAUUCAGUGAAUCAUCGAAUCUUUGAACGCACAUUGCGCCCCUCGGUAUUCCGGGGGGCAUGCCUGUUCGAGCGUCAUU